rnacentral:rRNA from 1 species
AUGGCGGCGGCGCAGCAGCCGCACCCGCUGCCGCCCGUGCCGGCGGAGGGGGCGGCGCCCCUGGCCGCGCCGGCGGGGGCGCCGCGGCCGUACGAGCUGGCGGUCGCGGCGGCGGAGCUCCGCCCCGUGGACUGCAACCUCGCGGCGCUCUGCGACCACGUGCAGGCCGAGGGCUUCGGCUCCGGCGCCUUCUCCGAUGUCGUCGUCGAGGCCAUGGGCGCCACCUACCGCCUCCACCGCCUCAUCAUCUCCCGCAGCACCUACUUCAGGAAUAUGUUGCAUGGUCCAUGGAGAGAAGCAGGAGCACCUACAGUGGUCUUGCAUAUAGAUGAUUCUAAUAUUGAUUCAGAGGCAAUUGCAAUUGCGUUGGCAUAUCUUUAUGGGCAACCCCCCAAGCUUAAUGAUAACAAUGCGUUUCGUGUACUGGCAGCUGCAUCAUUUCUGGAUCUUCAGGGCUUGUGUACAAUCUGUACAGAUUUUAUUAUUUCUGAGCUUUGGACAUCAAACUUUUUACAGUAUCAGUUGUUUGCGGAAAGCCAAGACUAUGGUAGUCAUGGAGAGCGUGUCAGAAAUGCUUGCUGGGGUUAUCUUUGUCAAAGUGCCACACUGGAACUACGAGAGGUGCUUCCAAAACUUUCUUCACAAACUUUGCAUGCUCUCCUUACAUCUGACGAACUGUGGGUACCUAAUGAGGAGAAACGGUUUGAACUAGCAUUAUUUGCUCUACUGGCAAAGGUCACCGUUUCUGAUGUAGAAGUUAGCGGAAAUGAAAAUUUGGACCUUAUGGCAAGCUCAUUAACUGUCGAUUGUUCCAUUGGAAAGGGAAAGGGUCUGAUGAAUGAAACUGGUGAGAAGCAGCUAAUGGAAUCUGAACUGCAGAACUUGAAGUUGCAUGAUAACAUGGCGAGUAAAGCUGCCAAUAACAUUAUUGAUGUUCCAAAUGUUGUAAUUCCGCAGGAUAGCACACCACAAUCCAUUCCACAAAAUGCUGAAGCUUCCAAGAGGAUGGAGAAUGAUAUUUCUACAGGAGGACCAUCUGCAGAGAGCACCUCUUAUCAAUUUAACGAAAAUAUGUGGCUUUCCAGUGAGCAAACAAAGAAUUAUUUCUCAAGAACUUCUUCAAGUAAUGGGUUAGUUCCAUGUGAGUGGGGAAGACCCACUGCACCUCUUUGGGGUGGUAGGGUUGUUGGUCGACGGCAGGUUAGAUGCAGCAGGGGAAGUUCUUCUUUGUCUGCUGAUGAAUAUAAUACUUUCAUGAAUAUAUUUGAAAGGGGUUCUCUUCUCUAUUGCAAUAUGUCAUUUGAUGCACUGUUAAGUGUUCGAAAGCAACUUGAAGAAUUUGAAUUUCCUUGCAAAGCUGUAAACGAUGGUCUUUGGCUCCAGAUGCUCCUGUGCCACAGAGUGCAAGCAAUAGUUGCUGAUACUUGCAGAAACUGUUGCCUUACAAGUAAUUCUUGUGCUUGUAAGCAAGCAUAUGUGAGUACACACAGCCACUACAGGCAGGAGCAUGAUAGGACAAGUGCUUCAGGAACUGCAGGUAGUAUCUACCUUGCAGAUGGCCAAGGCGAUGGGAAUGGUAUGUUUAGUCCUGUGCGUGUUAAUGUAAGAGGAGCAGUUGAUGGACUUGCUGGCAUUGGGAGAGGAAACUCAAAUGUGCCUGGCGCUGCUUGGGCUCCUACACGUUAUGUCUUCUCUCGUGUUCCCUAUGGGCUUGGUUCAAGGAAUGGUCAGCAAUCAUUUGCCAAUGAUGAAUCAGAACCUAGAGUUGACCACAAUGGAGAUAUUCCAGGAGAUGGUCUGACUGCAUUGGUCAAUCUUAGCCAAGAAAGCAAUGCUUCUCAUCAUCAGGCAGAAAGUAUUUUUGAGGCAGGCAUGCAAACUAGAUAUUCUGGUGCUGCUACUGUUUCUACACCAGGUGGUUCUUCUCUCCAGAUGCAAGAGUCAAAAGAGCACGAACAUGGGUCCAGUUGGGAAAGUGCAGAUAACACAGCUAUAUCCUUGGACAUGAGAACACCGCUUAGUCAUUUCCCUCCUUUCCGCUUUGGGGUUGAAUUUGAAGAUGUGCAUAGGCUUUCAGAUGGUCAAGUGAAACACUCAGCUGAAGUAUUUUACGCUGGCUCACUAUGGAAGGUAAGUGUCCAGGCAUUCAAUGAUGAGGAUCCUCAUGGGCGGCGCACCCUUGGGCUUUUUCUCCACAGACGCAAAGCUGAAUUGUUAGACCCCUUGAGGAAGGCCCACAUGUAUAUAGACCCCCGGGAAAAGGUCACUGCUCGGUAUCAGCUCAUCUGUCCGUCGAAGAGAGAGGUGAUGAUAUUCGGAAGCCUGAAGCAGGCCGGCACUCUCCUGCCCAAGGCUCCAAAAGGGUGGGGUUGGCGCACGGCCAUACUGUUCGAUGAACUUGCUGAUCUUCUCCAGGGUGGAGCCCUGAGAAUCGCUGCAGUAGUCCAGCUUGUGUAA